AGUGAACGCUGGCGGUAGGCCUAACACAUGCAAGUCGAAUGGCAGCACAGGAGAGCUUGCUCUCUGGGUGGCGAGUGGCGGACGGGUGAGGAAUACAUCGGAACCUACCUUUUCGUGGGGGAUAACGUAGGGAAACUUACGCUAAUACCGCAUACGACCUACGGGUGAAAGUGGGGGACCGUAAGGCCUCACGCGAUUAG
rnacentral:rRNA from 1 species